GAUGAACGCUGGCGGCGUGCCUAAUACAUGCAAGUCGAGCGAACGGACGAGAAGCUUGCUUCUCUGAUGUUAGCGGCGGACGGGUGAGUAACACGUGGAUACCCUCCCUAUAAGACUGGGAUAACUUCGGGAAACCGGAGCUAAUACCGGAUGAUAUUUUGAACCGCAUGGUUCAAAAGUAAAAGACGGUCUUGCUGUCACUUAUAGAUGGAUCCGCGCUGCAUUAGCUAGUUGGUAAGGUAACGGCUUACCAAGGCAACGAUGCAUAGCCGACCUGAGAGAGGGAUCGGCCACACGGGAACUGAGACAGGGUCCAGGCUCCUACGGGAGGCAGCAGUAGGGAAUCUUCCGCAAGGGGCGAAAGCCUGACGGAGCAACGCCGCGUGAGUGAUGAAGGUCUUCGGAUCGUAAAACUCUGUUAUUAGGGAAGAACAUAUGUGUAAGUAACUGUGCACAGCUUGACGGUAACUAAUCAGAAAGCCACGGCUAACUACGUG
rnacentral:rRNA from 1 species